rnacentral:rRNA from 1 species
GUGGAUUAGAUACCCGGUAGUCCACGCCGUAAACGAUGAGUACUAGGUGUUGCGGGUAUUGACCCCUGCAGUGCCGCAGCUAACGCAUUAAGUACUCCGCCUGGGAAGUACGGUCGCAAGACUAAAACUCAAAGGAAUUGACGGGGGCCCGCACAAGCGGUGGAGCAUGUGGUUUAAUUCGACGCAACGCGCAGAACCGUACCUGGUCUUGACAUCUACGGAACCCUCCCGAAACGGAGGGGUGCCUUUCGGGGAGCCGUAAGACAGGUGCUGCACGGUCGUCGUCAGCU